UAAGGAAUAUUGGUCAAUGGACGCAAGUCUGAACCAGCCAUGCCGCGUGAAGGAUGAAGGUCCUCUGGAUUGUAAACUUCUUUUAUCUGGGACGAAAACGGGAUUUUUAUCUCAAUUGACGGUACCAGAGGAAUAAGCACCGGCUAACUCCGUGCCAGCAGCCGCGGUAAUACGGAGGGUGCGAGCGUUAUCCGGAUUUACUGGGUUUAAAGGGUGCGUAGGUGGGCUUAUAAGUCAGUGGUGAAAUCUCCGAGCUUAACUUGGAAACUGCCGUUGAUACUAUAGGUCUUGAAUUAUCUGGAGGUAAGCGGAAUAUGUCAUGUAGCGGUGAAAUACUUAGAUAUGACAUAGAACACCAAUUGCGAAGGCAGCUUACUACGUAUAAAUUGACGCUGAGGCACGAAAGCGUGGGGAUCAAACA
rnacentral:rRNA from 1 species